rnacentral:rRNA from 1 species
UUUACGGAGAGUUUGAUCCUGGCUCAGGACGAACGCUGGCGGCGUGCUUAACACAUGCAAGUCGAACGAUGAUGCCCAGCUUGCUGGGUGGAUUAGUGGCGAACGGGUGAGUAACACGUGAGUAACCUGCCCCUGACUCUGGGAUAAGCGUUGGAAACGACGUCUAAUACUGGAUAUGAUCACCGGCCGCAUGGUCUGGUGGUGGAAAGAUUUAUUGGUUGGGGAUGGACUCGCGGCCUAUCAGCUUGUUGGUGAGGUAAUGGCUCACCAAGGCGACGACGGGUAGCCGGCCUGAGAGGGUGACCGGCCACACUGGGACUGAGACACGGCCCAGACUCCUACGGGAGGCAGCAGUGGGGAAUAUUGCACAAUGGGCGAAAGCCUGAUGCAGCAACGCCGCGUGAGGGAUGACGGCCUUCGGGUUGUAAACCUCUUUUAGUAGGGAAGAAGCGAAAGUGACGGUACCUGCAGAAAAAGCACCGGCUAACUACGUGCCAGCAGCCGCGGUAAUACGUAGGGUGCAAGCGUUGUCCGGAAUUAUUGGGCGUAAAGAGCUCGUAGGCGGUUUGUCGCGUCUGCUGUGAAAUCCCGAGGCUCAACCUCGGGCUUGCAGUGGGUACGGGCAGACUAGAGUGCGGUAGGGGAGAUUGGAAUUCCUGGUGUAGCGGUGGAAUGCGCAGAUAUCAGGAGGAACACCAAUGGCGAAGGCAGAUCUCUGGGCCGUAACUGACGCUGAGGAGCGAAAGCAUGGGGAGCGAACAGGAUUAGAUACCCUGGUAGUCCAUGCCGUAAACGUUGGGCGCUAGAUGUAGGGACCUUUCCACGGUUUCUGUGUCGUAGCUAACGCAUUAAGCGCCCCGCCUGGGGAGUACGGCCGCAAGGCUAAAACUCAAAGGAAUUGACGGGGGCCCGCACAAGCGGCGGAGCAUGCGGAUUAAUUCGAUGCAACGCGAAGAACCUUACCAAGGCUUGACAUACACCGGAAACGGCCAGAGAUGGUCGCCCCCUUGUGGUCGGUGUACAGGUGGUGCAUGGUUGUCGUCAGCUCGUGUCGUGAGAUGUUGGGUUAAGUCCCGCAACGAGCGCAACCCUCGUUCUAUGUUGCCAGCGGGUUAUGCCGGGGACUCAUAGGAGACUGCCGGGGUCAACUCGGAGGAAGGUGGGGAUGACGUCAAAUCAUCAUGCCCCUUAUGUCUUGGGCUUCACGCAUGCUACAAUGGCCGGUACAAAGGGCUGCGAUACCGUAAGGUGGAGCGAAUCCCAAAAAGCCGGUCUCAGUUCGGAUUGAGGUCUGCAACUCGACCUCAUGAAGUCGGAGUCGCUAGUAAUCGCAGAUCAGCAACGCUGCGGUGAAUACGUUCCCGGGCCUUGUACACACCGCCCGUCAAGUCAUGAAAGUCGGUAACACCCGAAGCCGGUGGCCUAACCCUUGUGGAAGGAGCCGUCGAAGGUGGGAUCGGUGAUUAGGACUAAGUCGUAACAAGGUAGCCGUACCGGAAGGUGCGGCUGGAUCACCUCCUUU